rnacentral:rRNA from 1 species
UACGUAGAUCCCGAGCGUUGUCCGGAUUUAUUGGGCGUAAAGCGAGCGCAGGUGGUUUAUUAAGUCUGGUGUAAAAGGCAGUGGCUCAACCAUUGUAUGCAUUGGAAACUGGUAUACUUGAGUGCAGGAGAGGAGAGUGGAAUUCCAUGUGUAGCGGUGAAAUGCGUAGAUAUAUGGAGGAACACCGGUGGCGAAAGCGGCUCUCUGGCCUGUAACUGACACUGAGGCUCGAAAGCGUGGGGAGCAAACAGG